rnacentral:rRNA from 1 species
GAGGGUGAUCGGCCACACUGGAACUGAGACACGGUCCAGACUCCUACGGGAGGCAGCAGUAGGGAAUCUUCCGCAAUGGGCGAAAGCCUGACGGAGCAACGCCGCGUGAGUGAUGAAGGUCUUCGGAUCGUAAAACUCUGUUAUUAGGGAAGAACAUAUGUGUAAGUAACUGUGCACAUCUUGACGGUACCUAAUCAGAAAGCCACGGCUAACUACGUGCCAGCAGCCGCGGUAAUACGUAGGUGGCAAGCGUUAUCCGGAAUUAUUGGGCGUAAAGCGCGCGUAGGCGGUUUUUUAAGUCUGAUGUGAAAGCCCACGGCUCAACCGUGGAGGGUCAUUGGAAACUGGAAAACUUGAGUGCAGAAGAGGAAAGUGGAAUUCCAUGUGUAGCGGUGAAAUGCGCAGAGAUAUGGAGGAACACCAGU